AUUUCCAGAACACCAUAGAAAUAUAGAGAGAUAGAGAGAGAGUGAAUUAAAAUCCAUUUUUGACCCAAAUUCGAGUUCCGAUUUCAAAAGCUCAUGAAGAGAAAAACGUUGCACGUUGCGUUGUCUUUAUUUUGAGCUAAAAAUCAGAGAAGAAGGAGUGUAUUAAGGUGGUUGACUUAUACUUCAAGGGGAGGUGCUGCCCAGAUUUUGGUCUAAAAAUCCUACAUGGACUGCUGUGGGUGUAUAUUCUCUUAUACAAGCUAAGAGGAACUGUUUGACGAAGUGGAUUUUGGUUGAUCUAUGACAUAGAGAAAUUGAACUCCGCGAGUGGUGGUAGAACUUGUUGUAUGCUAAAACGCCAAGGUGAUAUGCAAGGCGGGAUAUGAAGAUGGUCAUGUGGAGUAGACUUUUUGGGAGCUCUUUUGAAGAUCACAUAUGCAUAUACAUCUAGUUUUUGUAUAUUAUUUUGGGGACUUGUACAUGAUACAUGUGUGGCACUUAUUUACGAAAUUUUGAAGGCUUGUAACUUAAACCAAGUGACUAAUUUUGUUAUUUUAGAGUGUGCUUUUAACUCAAGUAAUGCAAUGUACUAGGUUAUAUUUUGACUUGUCA